GUUCCCACAUCCGUAAAAUGGCAAUAAUAAUGGCAUGGCACCUCCCUUCCAGGCUGUUGUGAAUUUGUAAAUCAGUCACACAGUAGGCACCCAACAAAUGCCCCUUCUCUUGGGACUCUGGAAGUGGUAGGUGAUUAAUUCAUGCUUGCUGAAUGGACCUGAAAGGCCCGUGGGCGUGUAUCCAGACCCAAGACCUGUGUAAGAGCUCCCCAGGUUCUGCUGGGCUGACGCCCGACAGAGGACUGACUGCCUCAGGAAGCAAUCGGCUCCCAUCAUUAGGUCUGUGGUUCACAAGGUGGUGAACAACCAUUGGGCAGGGACGUUUUCAAAGGGCUUUCUGGUCAGGUGGAAGACUGGACCAUGUGAUCUCUGAGGGCCGCUCCAGCCCUGAAAUUGUGCUACUGUGAAAACCUUUGCCAAGAAAAAUUAAUGGGGGAAAAAAUGGCAAAGGCCAGAUGGAGGCCACUCAUAUUUCUAAGGCAGACUUGACAAGAGUCUGGCACUGACUUCACAGAAAACUCUAGACUACGGAUCAGAAGGCCGGGAUGAAGCUGGUGGCCACAAGCUGAGUCUGAAGGUGCCUGGACACAGAAGGGGAAGCAUCCAGUAGGCACCUGGGGAAGAGGGGGGCUGAACUCUGGUGUGAGGUGUGAGGUGUGAGGGCGUGAGGGCACGACUAACAGUGUGGAUGUGUGCAGGUACCGGGAGUACUACAUCGAGAGGUCGGGAUCAUUUACUCUAACAACAGCGACUCCCAUUUCUCCCUCAGAACAGCCCUGUGGCAGACAGGGCUCAGGACAGUAUCCCCCAUUUGAAAGAUGAGUUAACUGAGGCUCUGACAAGGGAAAGGCCUGCCUGCCCCGCUCAGCGCACCCCGCCCGUCACCGCCUGUCGGCGCAUGCGCCGCUCCUGGAGCGCCGGAGUCACGUGGGGCCCUUGGACCCCGCCCCCAACAGACAGAGAACACACAUGGACCGCUGGAAGAAAGCAAGAGAGGGUGGUACUCACUUGGGCACCCUGUGACUGAAGGCCAACUGUCCCCCAGCUGGAGAUUUGGAGGUGAGCUGAGAGUGAAGGGAACGUGGCGGGCAGAAGGGAGGCAUAGGAUAGCAUCUGGAGAGCGUGCAUCAGGGCAGAGGUAGCUCAGGGGUGGGAAGGGCCAAGUAGCCAGGCUCUUCGAUAUUGAACCCAGAGAUCAUAUCAUGCUUCCCCUCCUCCACAGUGUCACCCCUCCCUUCUCUAGGCAGAAGGCCCCCAGUUCUGUCAGCUGAGGCCCUUCACCAUCCUCUCAGUCCUCAGGCCCAGCUGAUCAGGCCUGGGCUUUCCCCUGGGCUCUUGUUCCAGAUCACCAACUGCAUUUGAGAUUUCUUUGACGCGAUGUCCCAGAGACGUUUCCAACUCAGUUUAUCUUCUCCCCCCCUCCCCCCAAUCAACUGUCAGUCUUCCUAACUCUCCUAUGACUACCUGGGACACUCAGAAUCUUCCCGGUCACCCAGGCUCAGAACCUUACCAUCAUCCUUGAACUGUAACACCCCAGGACAUCCCACUGCCCCUUCCUGCCUCUGUGCCUUUGCCUUGGCUUACCCCUAGGCCUGAAAGAGCCUCUUCCUUGGUCUCCUCCAGUCUCUCCCCCAGAGGCAGAAAGUGAAGAGGAAUUAAGAAGCCUCUGGUGGAGGAGAGUACAAAAGCU